rnacentral:lncRNA from 1 species
UCGGACUCGGGUACAGGUAUCCGGUAUGGGUACAUAUCUAGGUGUCGGAUCUUUUAUUUUCUAAAAUAUAAGAUACGGCGACAUGGUUAAAAAGAGUCCAAUUUUCAAACACAGGUACGUGGAUACGUCUUUCAAGGUUCAAUUUUUUUUUACUAAUUCAAGAAGUCAUUUUGAAUAAAUCAAAAUCUAUUAUUCACAAAGAAGGAAAUGGAUAUUGAAUAAGGUGUUGAGACGAAUAAAAUAGAUUUUGGGGUUUAGUUUUCAAUUAUAGACAUUAUUAAAUAUUAUAUAAAAUAGCAAAUAAUGGACUUGAUUAUAAUUUGGACUUAGUGGAGAACUAAUUAGAAACGGGAAAGAAGAAAAUGAAAGGAAAAAAAAGAAAGAAAGAAGAAAAGCAAAAACGAAGUGUCCGAUUAAAAUUUGGAGGAUUCGACACAUAUCUCAUACCCA